AGGUUAUUCCUAGAUCAUGGAAAGUACAUGCUGAAGUAAUCCUAAAAUGUCCUUCCAAAUCCAAAAUGUGGGUUUCAGUAUGUUUGUAUUUAGAAGAACAAGGACAAGAGCUUAGCCACGCCUGGGAAUGUCCAGAAGAUGGAUGAACAAUUUCCCUGGGAGCCUUGUAGGACAGUGCAUCCGGACCAAGGGGGAAGAAAGCUGGAAAUGGCAAGGUUCUGAAGCAAACACUGUGCAGGACAGCACGCAUCCUGACAUGAUCAAGUAACGCCAGCUGGAUGAGGCAGUUGAUGGUCUUAGAGAAUCCCAUCAAGGAGAAGGUAACUACAAAGCCUUCUGUGGUUUACAUUUUUAAAAAUCAAUGGAGUCAUGUGGCCCCAAAGUCAGUCUACUCUGUCAUCUGCCCACUGAUUCCGCUUUCUGUUGGCUCAGUGUAUUCAGUGUUGGCACUAUACAUGACAGCUCCCAUCCAGACCUGUGUGCAUAAUACAAGAGGCUGGACUGUUCUGAAAGGUCAGCCUUUGCGUGUCUGCUCGCUUUAAGCUUUGGGAGGAUGUUUCUCAGUGGGUGUGUUGGCUGGUUUGAUGUCUGCAAUGCAGGCAUGAAGGAGCUGUCAUUGUAGAUGCUGACAUGCCAGGGAGAUGGGCACAGUGAGAUCUCUUGGAGGAGCUGUCCUGAAUCACGCUGUGUUCCCACCAAGGCUGGCUAUGGGCUUCCAGCUAUGCCUAGAGGAGCAGACAGAAAGUGAGCCCUAAAAAAGUAGUUGUGGGAAGGCCGCUUUUUGUUGACUGAUUUUAAUCAGAACUUUAAGAAUCAACACAAAGCAAAGUGAUUCUGUGUGAAGGCAAAAAAAAUGCUAUGCAGCAAUCUGUGGUUUACCGUGGAACCACAUAGAGCCCUUUUGUGGAUCAAAACCUGCUAAUACACCAUCUGGAGACAGGGAAGGGAACCACAGACAUUCCCUUACUGAGCAGGUGACUGGACUGUGAGGAAGGACCACAGCCAGCAGUUACCCGUAGGUCACACUAAGGAGGCUUGAGCUCAAUGCUGGUACUGGAAGCACUUUUGCAUCCUCUUCCCCUCUGGGAUGAGAGGUCAUUCAGUCGCUGUG
rnacentral:lncRNA from 1 species